rnacentral:rRNA from 1 species
UACGUAGGGGGCAAGCGUUGUCCGGAAUUAUUGGGCGUAAAGAGCGUGUAGGCGGUUCGGUAAGUCGGCUGUGAAAGUCCAGGGCUCAACCCUGGGAUGCCGGUCGAUACUGCCGGACUAGAGUUCGGUAGGGGAGUGUGGAAUUCCUGGUGGAGCGGUGAAAUGCGCAGAUAUCAGGAGGAACACCCGUAGCGAAGGCGGCACUCUGGGCCGGAACUGACGCUGAGGAGCGAAAGCGUGGGGAGCAAACAGG